ACGGAAGGCAGCAGUGGGGAAUAUUGGGCAAUGGGCGAAAGCCUGACCCAGCGACGCCGCGUGAAGGAAGACGGUCCUCGGAUUGUAAACUUCUUUUAUAAGGGACGAAUUAUGACGGUACCUUAUGAAUAAGCCACGGCUAACUACGUGCCAGCAGCCGCGGUAAUACGUAGGUGGCGAGCGUUAUCCGGAUUUACUGGGUGUAAAGGGUGUGUAGGCGGGAUUGCAAGUCAGAUGUGAAAACUAUGGGCUCAACUCAUAGCCUGCAUUUGAAACUGUAGUUCUUGAGGGUCGGAGAGGUAACUGGAAUUCCUGGUGUAGCGGUGAAAUGCGUAGAUAUCAGGAGGAACACCAGUGGCGAAGGCGAUCUACUGGACGAUAACUGACGCUGAGGCGCGAAAGCGUGGGGAGCAAACAGGAUUAGAUACCCUGGUA
rnacentral:rRNA from 1 species